rnacentral:tRNA from 1 species
AAAUAAGUAGCAAUAAAUUGCAUUUAAUUUCGACUUAAAAGAUUAAGUUUAAAAUACUUCUUAUUUU